AUACGUCAAAGAAUGAUAUACGGCAAGGGCGUGACUGAGCCUGGCUGACUCUGAAAUAAUUUUCGUGGACGGCAACUUUCUAUGGAGUAUGCCGAAUGGGCUAAUGCAGAAAGCAAGAUGUAAUAAAGAAUAUGCUUCAUAUUGCACCAAAUCCCUUUUAGAUGCUUAGCAGCGACCAUUCUUUCCUCCAACCAGCUUUUGUAACUUGAAAAAGCUCCAUGCCAACGAGACCAGAGACCUCUAGCAAGACAAAGACAACUCGUACAAAGACACAAUUGCAAGAGGAAGUAUGAAAGGUGUGGCUCAAUCAACUUGCCCAUACGCCUACACGUGGCAAGGGUAAUGGAGCAACAUGGCCCUCAACAAUCAUGCAAGGCAUCAAUCUUUCUAGCAUAGGCGGCUAUAGGCCCGGGCAAGCCAGGGCUUUGCCCUGGUAGUUUCCAACCAAAACCACACCCAAAAGCCACAACUGUUUAUACUUGCUAUCAGCUCCACUUUACAGUUAUUUUAGUGUGGUAACUGGCUUCUGUGAGCUAUCAUAAGGACUUUCAGUCAUUUUAUUAAUUGACCACACCCCUAAUUUUUAUAAAUAAUUAAUGAGCCCUGGUUAAUUCAAGAUUCGUAGCCGCCUAUGCUUUCUAGGCCCAAUAGCAGUUUCACACACACACACAUUUUGACAUGUUCUAAUGAUUUCAUGCAAUUUAUAUAUAUCAAGUGUAUGCAGCUUCUAAAGUAGUAGCGUAGAAGAGGCCGGGGAGAAAAUUUGAGCCAUCAUAGGCUCACAAAAUUAGUAAUCACGUCUCACAGAACAAUCAUAUCUUAGGAUAAAAAAUUUAAUACAAAUUUAAAACAUUUAAAUUAACGUAGUGGCUAUUUUUACGGUCCCGUAAUCUCAUUGUAUACAGCUAUUUUUACGGCAGGGAAUAUAGAAAUGAAGUGACGUAUAAACAUGACAAUCAGCAUCAAUAAGGCAGCAGGAUCGUGGUGGCACAGUGGGGAAGGCGCUGGGUUGGACACGGACGGGCACUGGUUCGAAUUCAGCUCAGACCAUUUCUUUUUUUUUUAUAAUUUUGACUUUAACAAAUUGAUUUUUUUAUCUUUCUACUUCGCUAUGUUCCCUAA